rnacentral:rRNA from 1 species
UACGGGAGGCAGCAGUGGGGAAUAUUGCACAAUGGGCGCAAGCCUGAUGCAGCCAUGCCGCGUGUAUGAAGAAGGCCUUCGGGUUGUAAAGUACUUUCAGUCGUGAGGAAGGUGUUAAGGUUAAUAACCUUAGCAAUUGACGUUAGCGACAGAAGAAGCACCGGCUAACUCCGUGCCAGCAGCCGCGGUAAUACGGAGGGUGCGAGCGUUAAUCGGAAUUACUGGGCGUAAAGGGCACGCAGGCGGUUAAUUAAGUUGGAUGUGAAAUCCCCGGGCUUAACCUGGGAAUGGCAUUCAAGACUGGUUAGCUAGAGUCUUGUAGAGGGGGUAGAAUUCCAUGUGUAGCGGUGAAAUGCGUAGAGAUGUGGAGGAAUACCGGUGGCGAAGGCGGCCCCUGGGACAAAGACUGACGCUCAUGUGCGAAAGCGUGGGGAGGCAAACAGGAUUAGAUACC